GAGAAUCUAGUAAACAUAUUACAUGACCCUGUCAUAGUCAAAUCACAACAUCUGUGGUUCUCA
rnacentral:tRNA from 1 species